GAGGGUAUAGCUCAGUGGUAGAGGUUGUGCUUAGCCUGUGUGAGGUCCUGGGUUCAAACCCCAGCACCCCCA
rnacentral:tRNA from 1 species